rnacentral:lncRNA from 1 species
GUUGCCAAGUAGGACGGCGGGCAAAGGGCUCCUCCAAGUUUCUGCGCUGGAGUCACAACCCAAGAGGCAUCACCGUCUGGCGUUAGUGUCUGAGGAGCCGCAGGAAUGAGCAGCAGCAGCAGGAGGAGCUGGAGGACUUGUUUGCUGAGGCCAGUAUUCUGUUCAAAAGUUUGCAGACGCACGGAACUAGGAGGAAGCGUGACAGGGAGAGAAGGGGGCGAGGAGAGAGAUGUAGAAGGGAGAAAGAGGAGGCGAGGAGCUAAAGUGGGGGGUGGGGGACAAAGUGGCCUAAGUCCACCAGGAGAAAGAAGUAAGUGAUUAAGGAAAAGAGGGAAAAUCGAAGGGGAGGAAGGAAGAGGGAGGGCCGCGUGUCAGCCGGCGUCCGUCGGAACCGCCUGGUCAGGCAGUUGUGCAAGUCGGCAGCGCCUUCUCUACUCUGAGGUCCCUCUGGCUGCGUCUGAAGCUGCGGCUUCUGCUGCUGCUGCCGGUGGUUACUGAGGUGACCAGCCCUCUGCUCCUAUUUAUAUGUGCAGUUAGCAGAAAUCUAUCUGAAUGUGGUUUUAGAAGAGGCUUCCUUGUCAACAUCUGUCUGCCUAUGGCCUUUAAGUACAGAAUAUUUUGUUGCACUGUUGCGCUCCGAUUUUUAUUCAUGGAAUGACUUCCUUUUUUUUUUUUUUUUCCAGUCACGUAAUGAUCGGGUAUCAGAAAAAGACGUCAGCAUCCUAGUCCCUCAAGGAACAUAUUAACUAUUUUGUGCUGUCCUCUUGGAUGAUAAGAUCCGGAGUCAUCGACUUCUCAUAAACACCUUUCACUGAUACAAUCCAAUUUUUAAGAAGUGCAAUUAUUUUGAUGGUUUUCAAUUUUGCCCAUUUCUCAAGGAUGGGUAAAGAAUUCAUACAAUUUCGAGGGUGGUAAAAGUCAUGUUUUUAAUUAUGUCUCUAUGAUUUCUCUUUACUUUUCAUCAAACCUCAGCAAUCAGAGCUCUGGCCUCUAGAAUUAAGCACCCUCAAGCUCUCCUAUUAAUAAAUUUAAUUUAGAUCUCCUAA